rnacentral:lncRNA from 1 species
AAUCUCUGCAGUAAAGGCACACCAGACCACCAUACUUGGAGGACAUGGAGCUCAACUUGGGACUUGAAGCCAGAAAUCUGCCUGAAUCUCACAGCUGCUGUGAAUUAAGAUGCCACAGCUGACCUCAUAUCUUCAACUCUUGACCUUCAGAACUUCAGAAGAAUCAUCCAGAACACAGAGGAGGAGGCUUCUGGGCCAAUGUACCACUGCUCCCAGCACAGAGGAGGUGAGCUGCACAGGCAGCAGCAGAACCCCCCCAACCCCCCCAUCAAAAUAAGAAGACACAUAAACAAGCCUCAAGACCAGACUUUCAGAUCACCUACAGCAACCUCAAAGGGAAACAAGAUGGAACACUCUGAUACUCAACCACCUGGACUCCCUGAACUGGCAACAAAAGAGGAUCUGGAAAAAAUGAAAUCAGAAAUAAUUUCAAAGAUAACAGCAGAGAUUGUGCCCAUAGUGCAAGACAUGAUUGAUAAAUCUAGAGAGGAGCUGAGGAACAUAAUGGAAUCCCAACAUAGGAAACAAAUGGAUUCCAUAAAGCAAAAACAAACAGAUUUCCAGGAGAUUAAAAACUCCAUUGAAAGUUUGCGCAGCAGAAUGAGGCAAUGCAAGGACAGAACUUAAGAUAUAGAAGAUGAGAUUGCAGUUAGUGACCAGGAAAAGAAAAAUUGCUUAAAAAUUGUAGGGGACCAUGAGAAAUCAAUCCAACAACUGGUAGAUGAUGCAAAGAAGAAUAACAUAAGAAUGAUCCAAGUCAGUGAAGAAAGAGGACAGAAUGCAGAUGACAUAAAAAAAAACUGUUCACAGAAGUGAUGGCAGAAAAAUUUCCAAGCAGGGGAAAAGAACUUCACAUACAUAUAUAGGUCUCCAACAAGCCUUGAUCAAAAAAAAAAUCUACACAUAGGCAUAUAAUAGUUAAAAUUCCAGAAACCCAACAGAAGAACAAAGUCUUACAAGCAGUGAGAGAAAAGAAACAAAUCACAUAAAAAGGAAAACCCAUCAGAAUCACAGCAGACUUCUCACCGCAAACCCUCAAGACAAGAAGAGUUUGGAGUGACUUAUUUUAUGUCCUAAAGGUAAACAGCCUCCAACCCAG